rnacentral:misc_RNA from 1 species
GAUGAAGAACGUAGCAAAAUGCGAUAAGUAGUGUGAAUUGCAGAAUUCAGUGAAUCAUCGAAUCUUUGAACGCACAUUGCGCCCGGCAGUAAUCUGCCGGGCAUGCCUGUCCGAGCGUCAUUUCACCCCUCGAGCCGCUUUUAGUGGAUCGGUGUUGGGGCACUACGGUAAAACGUAGGCCCCGAAAUGAAGUGGCGGUCCCGCCGCGGUGCCCCCAUGCGUAGUAACGUUUAGUCUCGCAUCGGGUCCCGGCGGAGGCCUGCCGUCAAGCCUUUUAUUCUCAGAAUAGUUUGACCUCGGAUCAGGUAGGGUUACCCGCUGAACUUAAGCAUAUCAAUAAGCGGAGGA